rnacentral:tRNA from 1 species
GGUGACUCAGUGGUAGAGCACUUGCCUCGCAUGCAUGAGGUCCUGGGUUCGAUUCCUCAGCACCA